rnacentral:lncRNA from 1 species
UUCAGUGCAUGCCGAGUCCCAGUAAUACGGCAGUAGCCAGCUGCCAAAGUGCUGUGACGCACUGACGAAUGCUGGGUGGGCCAAGCGGCUGCGGCAGCAGCGCAUCGCCGCACGCCCCAAAUGCACCCUGGUCGCCUGGACCUUCCCAAGUUCCACGCCCAUCGCGCCAGACCAGUAUUCGUAAGCCGCCAUCAUCAAAAGGGUGCUUGUUUGCCGCACGUGCAAACAUGACGACAGCCGGGCACGCUCGCGCGCCACAGUCAUAUGCCGGGUAACAAUCUGCUGCUGUAUAAUAGGCACCCUCCAACCCUACUAAUGCCGAAGCCUACCAAUACAACACCGACAUGCCGGCGCCUUGGCCCGCCCAGCACGCAGAAUUUUAUGCGCCCGUGGGGCCCGUACCUUGCUCAGACACCCCUCACCCACAUUUACCCCGCAACACUUAAUCACAAGCACAUGCAUGCACACAAACACACACGGGCAAUCAGGCACACAAGAACACGCUCGCCACCCGUACUAGCACCCACCCUACCCCUGUCGUGACCCCCUACUGCUUCGCCGUCGGCGCAGGAGCAGCCGUGCUCGCGCUGGAGGCCACGGUGGUGGCGGCGGUCGGCGGCAGCUCGGGCACGGCGUUGAGGAUGUCAUCGAGCUCGCGGUCGAAGGCCAGCUUGGCGCGGUUAGUGCGGCCCGACACAAACAGGCUGGAGC